rnacentral:misc_RNA from 1 species
UGUACUCUCUCUCUCUCUCUCUCGCAGAUUUCAGAAACAGAUUCCAUUUCUAAAUCGAGCAAGAUGGAACAUUCGUUAUCUGCGCUUGUAUACAAAGGUUCUAUUCCUAAAGCCAUUCUUGAAUCCAAGAAGCAGAAGAAGCUCUUUGUUGUCUAUAUUUCUGGUUCAGAUGAAAAGUCAGUUGAAUUGGAAAAAUCCACAUGGACUGAUUCAAAAGUGGGAGAGUCACUGUCAAAGUACUGCAUUUUCUUGCAUAUCCCAGAAUCAAGCACUGAUGCUGCAAAUUUUCGUGCAAUAUAUCCACAGAAAUCUGUCCCUUCUAUAGCAGCUAUUGGGUACAAUGGAGUUCAACUUUGGCAAAAUGAAGGAAUUGUUAGUGCUGAAGUUCUGGCUUCCAGCUUAGAGAAGGCAUGGUUGGGUCUUCAUAUCCAGGAAACAACUG